UACAUGGGGUGCAAACGUUGCUCGGAAUUAUUGGGCGUAAAGCGCACGUAGGCGGUCCGUUAAGUCAGAUGUAAAAGCCCCCGGCUCAACCGGGGAAGUGCAUCUGAAACUGGCGGGCUAGAGUACGAAAGAGGGUCGCGGAAUUCCCGGUGUAGAGGUGAAAUUCGUAGAUAUUAGGAAGAACACCGGUGGCGAAGGCGGCUCUCUGGAACGGUACUGACGCUGAGACGCGAAAGCGUGGGGAGCGAACAGG
rnacentral:rRNA from 1 species